UACAUGGGGUGCAAACGUUGCUCGGAAUUAUUGGGCGUAAAGCGCGCGUAGGCGGUUACUCAAGUCGGAUGUGAAAGCCCUCGGCUUAACUGAGGAAGUGCACCCGAAACUGAGUAGCUAGAGUACCAAAGAGGGUCGCGGAAUUCCCGGUGUAGAGGUGAAAUUCGUAGAUAUCGGGAGGAACACCGGUGGCGAAGGCGGCGACCUGGGUGGAUACUGACGCUGAGGCGCGAAAGCGUGGGAAGCAAACAGG
rnacentral:rRNA from 1 species